rnacentral:rRNA from 1 species
UACGUAGGCAGCAAGCGUUGUUCGGAGUUACUGGGCGUAAAGGGUGUGUAGGCGGUUCUUUUAAGUUUGGUGUGAAAUCUCCCGGCUCAACUGGGAGGGUGCGCCGAAUACUGAGGGACUAGAGUACGGGAGAGGAAAGUGGAAUUCCUGGUGUAGCGGUGAAAUGCGUAGAUAUCAGGAGGAACACCGGUGGUGUAGACGGCUUUCUGGACCGACACUGACGCUGAGACGCGAAAGCGUGGGGAGCAAACAGG